AUUAAAUUAGUCUACUGGGAAGAGUAAAUGCCAAGAAAUUUUUAGAGAGUACACGGUUGGUGAGAGUGUAUAUUUUCUAGUGUUGAAGGUAGCCCACAUCGAACUUUAGCUGAACUCAUUAAUGAUAUGACUAGGUUAAAGCGUGUUUGAGCGUUAAUCGAGAUUAAGUGCAAGAAACGAUAAAUUUCUUGAAUUUAGGUGGUACCACGGAACAUCCGUCCUAUAU
rnacentral:ncRNA from 1 species